CCUACGGGUGACAGCAGUGAGGAAUAUUGGUCAAUGGACGCAAGUCUGAACCAGCCAUGCCGCGUGCAGGAAGACGGCUCUAUGAGUUGUAACCUGCUUUUGUACGAGGGUAAACGCAGAUACGCGUAUCUGUCUGACAGUAUCGUACGAAUAAGGAUCGGCUAACUCCGUGCCAGCAGUCGCGGUAAUACGGAGGAUUCAAGCGUUAUCCGGAUUUAUUGGGUUUAAAGGGUGCGUAGGCGGUCGGCUAAGUUAGAGGUGAAAUCCCGAGGCUCAACUUCGGAAUUGCCUCUGAUACUGUUCGGCUAGAGAGUAGUUGCGGUAGGCGGAAUGUAUGGUGUAGCGGUGAAAUGCUUAGAGAUCAUACAGAACACCGAUUGCGAAGGCAGCUUACCAAGCUACUUCUGACGUUGAGGCACGAAAGCGUGGGGAGCAAACAGGAUUAGAUACCCCAGUAGUC
rnacentral:rRNA from 1 species